AUGCGAACGACUCAGAUCCAUCGCAGCUCUGACGAGACCACCACCAUCCUGCCGAGAGAGCUGCAACCCGCAACGCCUUGGAAUGUGCGACCGAGCCAUCCAGAACCGGCCAACCGCCGUGAAUCUCUCGCCAUUAUCCGUGUCGGAUCGACACCACCGCCGCCGGAAAGCAAAAGAACUUUGGAGAUAAUUGAAGAGCAGUAA